ACCCAGAUGGAGAGAAAGGGGGAGGAGCGGGGGAGAGGGCGGAGCUCGCGCGGCCACGUGACCGAGGCCGGCCGGCGCGCGCUCGGCCGCCGGGAGGUCUGUUGCGCGCGCGCGUCUCCGAGUGCACGCGCCCGAGCUCCCGGACUCCCCGCGCCCGCGCGGCCCGGAAGGAGCAGCAUCAUUCACAAUAGCCAAGAUGUGGAAAUGACCAAAGUGUCUGCCAAUGGAUGAAUGGGUGAAAAAAUUGUGGUGUAGAGGUACACAAUGGAAUAUUAAUCAGCUUUAAAAAAGGAAAUUCCACUAUUUGUGACAGCAUGGAUGGAACUUGAGUGCAUUAUGCUAAAUACUGAAAUGUCUCGUGAUAAUACAAAUGUAUUCCUAGCGUCCCGCGUGCACGUGCUUCCUCGCUGUCAUCACAAAGCCCCACACAGAAGGCGGCUUAAAGGAACGGAAAUGUAUCC